rnacentral:rRNA from 1 species
CGGCGGACGGGUGAGUAACACGUGGAUAACCUACCUAUAAGACUGGGAUAACUACGGGAAACCGGAGCUAAUACCGGAUAAUAUAUUGAACCGCAUGGUUCGAUAGUGAAAGACGGUUUUGCUGUCACUUAUAGAUGGAUCCGCGCCGCAUUAGCUAGUUGGUAAGGUAACGGCUUACCAAGGCAACGAUGCGUAGCCGACCUGAGAGGGUGAUCGGCCACACUGGAACUGAGACACGGUCCAG